UACAGAGAAAGAGUUGUUUGCAUUGCAUAAAAAUGAAGCUAGGGGUAAGAUUGCAGUUUUUGUGGGGCGCGGUAGGAAUGGUGCCGAUCGGUGGGGGGGUCGAGACGGGAGGGUGGCCCCAUUGGACCGGGGGUCGGGGGUCAAACGUUUACGAGUUACAGAGGCGAAUAGGCGGCAUAGGUAGCAUAGUACGGGAACGGGACGCGUCGCGUCGCAGACAGCCGCGAAGACUGGCACAACGUCAAACGACAUGCACUGCUUGCUACCGAUUGUAAAACUGAAUUUAGGGACCCGGCGUGCAAACGUUGACAUACUUCGUUUACAAGAAAUAUUGAAAUCCAGCUUACCUUUAAGUUUUCUACUUCUCUUCCCGGAUCCCGAC
rnacentral:lncRNA from 1 species